GACAGAGGGGGCAAGCGUUGCUCGGAAUCACUGGGCGUAAAGGGCGCGUAGGCGGGAUGGCAAGUCGGUCGUGAAAUCCUUCGGCUCAACCGAAGAACGUCGGCCGAUACUGCCGUUCUUGAGGGAUGCAGAGGAGAUUGGAAUUCCCGGUGUAGCGGUGAAAUGUGUAGAGAUCGGGAGGAACACCGGUGGCGAAGGCGGGUCUCUGGGCCGUAACUGACGCUGAGGAGCGAAAGCAUGGGGAGCGAACAGG
rnacentral:rRNA from 1 species